UGGCCUCGUGAUCGAGUGGUAAAGACACUUGCCUUUCAACCUUGAGUUCCGGGUUCGAUCCCCGAGGAGCUAG